rnacentral:rRNA from 1 species
UGGGGAAUUUUGGACAAUGGGGGAAACCCGUGAUCCAGCCAUCCCGCGUGUGCGAUGAAGGCCUUCGGGUUGUAAAGCACUUUUGGCAGGAAAGAAACGUCGCGGGUUAAUACCCGCGAACAUGACGGUACCUGCAGAAUAAGCACCGGCUAACUACGUGCCAGCAGCCGCGGUAAUACGUAGGGUGCAAGCGUUAAUCGGAAUUACUGGGCGUAAAGCGUGCGCAGGCGGUUCGGAAAGAAAGAUGUGAAAUCCCAGAGCUUAACUUUGGAACUGCAUUUUUAACUACCGGGCUAGAGUGUGUCAGAGGGAGGUGGAAUUCCGCGUGUAGCAGUGAAAUGCGUAGAUAUGCGGAGGAACACCGAUGGCGAAGGCAGCCUCCUGGGAUAACACUGACGCUCAUGCACG